AUUGAACGCUGGCGGCAGGCCUAACACAUGCACGUCGAGCGGAGCGGCGGACGGGUGAGUAAUGCCUAGGAAUCUGCCUGGUAGUGGGGGAUAACGUCCGGAAACGGGCGCUAAUACCGCAUACUAUCAGAUGAGCCUAGGUCGGAUUAGCUAGUUGGUGGGGUAAAGGCCUACCAAGGCGACGAUCCGUAACUGGUCUGAGAGGAUGAUCAGUCAGAAUGGAACUGAGACACGGUCCAGACUCCGACGGGAGGCAGAAGUGGGGAAUAUUUGACAAUGGGCGAAAGCUUGAUCCAGCCAUGCCGCGUGUGUGAAGAAGGUCUUGGGAUUGUAAAGCACUUUAAGUUGGGAGGCGUUACCAACAGAAUAAGCACCGGCUAAGGUCGAGCCAGCAGCCGCGGUAAGUC
rnacentral:rRNA from 1 species